rnacentral:lncRNA from 10 species
UGCCACCAGUGGAGCUCUGAGGUUAUCACAGCCUGAUAAACGAACUCACAGGACACUCCCAAUCCAAUACGGCGCUGAUGGGGUUUAAGACACUGAUGCAGAUGAGAAGCACAACUGCACAGCAUAUGUACUUCUAGUGAGAAUUCAUCAAAUAUCCCAGGCAUGGCUUCCAGACCCCACCACUGUGUGGCCCAUGCUUGUUUGUGAAAGGUGAGUCAAAUAUGUGAGGAUUCUUCAGCACAAGGAAGCUGGCAUUGCAUAUGAAUCAUGUGGAUCCUUCCUGGGCGUGUGACCUGCUCUGUUUCACUGCAGCCCAUCACAUGAGUUACAUCAUAUGGCUAGAAAUCAAGGAGUUCAAGGAGAUGGUCACACACAAGUUCGGUCUCUGAAUCACAGAAUCGCAGAGAGCUCUCGGUCUGAGCUUCUGUCCAUGGCCACAAAGAGUUGCAGACUGCAGGUUGAGCAAUGCAGGUUGAGAAAGCAAAGAGGUGAGCAAGGCAGGUUGAGAAAGCUCCAUGCACACUGUCUGCAGAGAUAAUUUUUGGUAUGUCAAUUUCAUUGCAGAUAUAAGAUAUGGAAAUAAUGGAAAAGAGAGAGAAAGAGAGAGAGAGACUAAGAGAGAGACAGAGAGAGAGACCGGCAUAGGGCUUAGUAUAUGCUUGCAUAGGUCACAGUUUGACUUCAGGAAUGUGAUGGGAAUGACAGCCAUAACUUCGUUGGCACAGGAUUAGGGUAGCUGCCUAAUAUAGCAUCAGGAGAUUGACAUGUAGCUAGCAGCCUCUCCAG